UACGGAGGGUGCAAGCGUUAUCCGGAUUCACUGGGUUUAAAGGGUGCGUAGGAGGGCAGGUAAGUCAGCGGUGAAAUCCUAGAGCUUAACUCUAGAACUGCCAUUGAUACUAUCUGUCUUGAAUAUUGUGGAGGUGAGCGGAAUAUGUCAUGUAGCGGUGAAAUGCUUAGAUAUUCGGAGGAACACCAGUGGCGAAGGCGGCUCACUGGUCCAUUACUGACGCUGAGGUGCGAAAGCGUGGGGAGCAAACAGG
rnacentral:rRNA from 1 species